UUUACCCACACAGCCGAUCUCACAUUCUCAGAUCUCACUCUCUGUUUCUCUCGAGUCACUCUCUCAGAGUCUCAGUUUCUCUCAACUCUCCGAACGAACACCGACGUCUCUGUCAGCCAUCUCCAUCGCCGACGUCUCUCUCAGCCAUCUCCAUCUCCGAUUCUGACGUAUCUCUCAGGCUCUCUCCAUCUCCGAUUCCCACACAGCCAUCUCCAUCUCCGACGUCUCUCUCAGCCAUCUCCAACGUCUACCUCUUCUCCGACGUCUCUCUCUUCUCCGGGCUCCGAUGAUGGAAGGAACUCAAGGAGCUCCAACUGGAUCCUGCAGCAGCUAUGAGAGUUGUUCCAUUAUAUCAAGAACCUACUAGAACUGAGUUGGAGAUGUAUGGUGAGCUGGAAAAGCUUGAAUCAGAAUCAGGGGUUACUCAGGUCACCGCAUCUGAGGAAAUGUGAUGAUGACAUGAUGAGUUGAGCUGCUGAAGGCCUGUUUUUGAUGGCAGCAAUUUUUUUUUCUUUCCCUACAAUGCUUACUACUUUCUUUCUUUUUCUGUUGGACUGUGUUAAGACUGUUGGCAGCAUUGCAGCAAGACUUAUUUAGCUAUUCGGUUUGUAAUAAGUUAAUAACUUAACUUAUUUAGCUUCAUUGCUUUGAACUUAGUUAGCUAAUGUUGGACACUUGAACUGCUUGGUGAUGUCUAAAAUUAUAGGUUUGAUAAUUUGCAGGUUUGAUUCGUUUGAA